UACGUAGGGUGCAAGCGUUAAUCGGAAUUACUGGGCGUAAAGCGUGCGCAGGCGGUUGUGUAAGACAGAUGUGAAAUCCCCGGGCUCAACCUGGGAACUGCAUUUGUGACUGCAUCGCUGGAGUGCGGCAGAGGGGGAUGAAAUUCCGCGUGUAGCAGUGAAAUGCGUAGAUAUGCGGAGGAACACCGAUGGCGAAGGCAAUCCCCUGGGCCUGCACUGACGCUCAUGCACGAAAGCGUGGGGAGCAAACAGG
rnacentral:rRNA from 1 species